rnacentral:lncRNA from 13 species
UUUGUUGACUCAUAUGUCUGAUAUGUGGUAAAUACAGUUGAAGUCUGAAGUUUACGUCCACUUAGGUUGGAGUCAUUAAAACUAGUUUACGUCCACUUAGGUUGGAGUCAUUAAAACUAGUUUACAUCCACUUAGGUUGGAGUCAUUAAAACUAGUUUACAUCCACUGAGGUUGGAGUCAUUAAAACUAGUUUACAUACACUUAGGUUAGGAGUCAUUAAAACUAGUUUACAUACACUUAGGUUAGGAGUCAUUAAAACUAGUUUACAUACACUUAGGUUAGGAGUCAUUAAAACUAGUUUACAUACACUUAGGUUAGGAGUCAUUAAAACUAGUUUACAUACACUUAGGUUAGGAGUCAUUAAAACUAGUUUACAUACACUUAGGUUAGGAGUCNNNNNNNNNNCAGCACAGGUGUAACAUACUGACUAACGAGAUGACAAGUCAGCACAGGUGUAACACAUACUGACUAACGAGGUGACAAGUCAGCACAGGUGUAACAUACUGACUAACGAGAUGACAAGUCAGCACAGGUGUAACACAUACUGACUAACGAGAUGACAAGUCAGCACAGGUGUAA